CGGUGGAGCAUGUGGUUUAAUUCGAAGCAACGCGAAGAACCUUACCAGGUCUUGACAUCCCGAUGCUAUUUCUAGAGAUAGAAAGUUGCUUCGGUACAUCGGUGACAGGUGGUGCAUGGUUGUCGUCAGCUCGUGUCGUGAGAUGUUGGGUUAAGUCCCGCAACGAGCGCAACCCCUAUUGUUAGUUGCCAUCAUUCAGUUGGGCACUCUAGCGAGACUGCCGGUAAUAAACCGGAGGAAGGUGGGAUGACGUCAAAUCAUCAUGCCCCUUAUGACCUGGGCUACACACGUGCUACAAUGGUUGGUACAACGAGUUGCGAGUCGGUGACGGCGAGCUAAUCUCUUAAAGCCAAUCUCAGUUCGGAUUGUAGGCUGCAACUCGCCUACAUGAAGUCGGAAUCGCUAGUAACCGCAGGUCAGCUAUACUGCGGUGAAUACGUUCCCGGGGCUU
rnacentral:rRNA from 1 species